UACGUAGGGGGCAAGCGUUGUCCGGAUUUAUUGGGCGUAAAGAGCGUGUAGGCGGCCACACAGGUCAGCUGUGAAAACUCGAGGCUCAACCUCGAGACGUCGGUUGAAACCGUAUGGCUAGAGUCCGGAAGAGGAGAGUGGAAUUCCCGGUGUAGCGGUGAAAUGCGCAGAUAUCGGGAGGAACACCGGUGGCGAAGGCGGGUCUCUGGGCAGUAACUGACGCUGAGGAGCAAAAGCGUGGGGAGCGAACAGG
rnacentral:rRNA from 1 species